rnacentral:lncRNA from 10 species
CUGAGGAUUAGUCUAAAUUCAAGUAUUUAUUCCAAUUAGCACUUUCAUUGUUUGAAAUUUUAUCUUUUAUUAAAAAAAAAAAAACAGGUUCAUAGACUUUUGAGCAUUCUUGCAGGCAUUGGAUAAUUUGCAUUAAAACAAAUAAAAUGUGGCUGGGAAAGCAGACUGCAAUUUAUUUUGACCCACAUUCUUUAUAAGGGAUAAUUUGUGACUGAAGACCUUAUUUGCUGGAUAAGUGAAUGUACAUACAGGGAAAAUUGUUAGUACUGUGGCGUCAAUUGCACUGCGGACUUUAGUUUUAGUGAAAAUGAUCGUGACUACCAUUUCAGUUACUGGUUUAGGAAUAUAAUUUCCUAUUACUAUGUAAAUUUGCUUUGAGAAACAUUCAUGCCUUGUAAGAGAGGCUUAAAAAUAUCCAGUAGUAAUACCUUUGACUUUCUGUUAACACUUCGUUUAUUUUUAUUUAUCUGCUAUCCCUGAUGCCCAAAUUUUUUGUUGGCCAAGACAUAACAUCUAUUUCCCUAUUUCCUUUAGAAAUUCUGAUUUAUUCUAAUGACUUUUUUGCUUGAGAAUGAGAGGAACAAAAGAAUCUAAGCUUUACGGUACAGAAAAGUGAAUCACUUUCAAAUUACUAUUAAGUUUUCCCCUCCAUCUUAUUCUUACGUGAUUUCAUUUCUUUUUCAAAGUACACUCAUUACACAGUAUAGUCAUUUAACAGACCUUAUUGAUAUUUUAGUUUUUUGGAAACUGAUAAAGGAAUUAUGGUCUGUUGUAUGAUAGUUUUGAGUUAACAUGGGUAUUUCUUUGGUAAGACAGAUCCAGUUGUUUUUCUUAUGCCCAUGUAUGCAAGUAAAGACACCAAACAUUCUUUAAAUGCUGCUUUUAAACUUUGAAAGUACAAUUUGAAGUUGUAACUAUACAUCUAAUUAGACUUAAGUAAAACCCUGAUUUUUUUCCUGGAAAGAACAAAAUCUACAAAUAAAAUUUGAGUUGUUUGUAUUUCUUAAUUAGGUGUUACAAGCUACAAAGUUGUCAUAAAGAAUGCUAAGAAUGGGGAUAGAAAUGAUUCUGAGAAAACAAACCCUCGCAAAAACAUAAGAUUAAAACUUGGGUUCCAUGUCAAAAUCCUUUCCUUUAAUUGCAAAUUAUAUUUUGAAUUUUAAAGUGGCCACCUCCUCCUCUGUCCUUUUCACUAAUUAAAAAUAUAUUUGCAGAGGUACCCUCUAAUAUUUGGUUUAUAGGGAUUGGCAUUUUUUUUUUUUUAAAUUAGGUACAAAUUAUGAGUGUAAGGAAUUUGGUUUCCUGCUCUCCUGUCUUUCCAUCUUUUUUGUUCCCCAAGCUAAUUGAUUUGGCUUUAUUUAUGAGCCUGUUACAGUAAAGUGUGUGUUGGGAAAUAUAUUGAGGUAUAGAGCUAUUCUUUGUAGGUACCCUGGUGAGACCGAUACAAAUAUGCCCCUCCCCAUAAUGGAAUACUAAUUUUUAUUUGAUCACUCAUUUAUAGCAGUUGCUUAAAUGUAUGUAUUUAUAUGAAGGUAUUUUAAUUUUUAAGAGCAAAAAAGUUCUAAUAAGUUGCCAGAUUUCUAAUAAAUGCAGGUUUAUUUGGUGAAAAGAUAAGGAAAAUGAGUUAUGAUUCUGUAGUUUUUUUAAAAUGAGUUCAGCAUAAUUGUUUUUCAGGUUUUUUUAGUUACUGGGGUUAUUCUGCAUAAGAAAGCCCAAUGCUUUCUGAUAGUAGGAGAUAAUUUUUCUCUCUUUUGACUUUGAAAUCUGACUUAGGAGAUGAAUUCUUUUUAAAAAGGUCAGCAUGCAAAAAAAUAAAUUAUAUAUUUUAAAUUCUAAAAGAGAAGGGACAUAAAAUUUCACUCCUAGCAUAAAGCCAUAUAAUAUUAUUCUUGAAACUCAUUACAUCAUUUGCCUCCUGCCCAUUUGAAUAUAAUCAUACCUACGUUUUAUUAAUUGUGCAUUUGUAAAACCAAACCCUUCCAGUAAAUACUUGCUAUAAGGCUAUUGCUUGUCAAUUAUCAAGGCUUCUAAAUAUGUUAAAACUUGUCAUUUUGAUUUUUCAAAGAUAAUUUUAUUAUACUGAGCUACCAAUAUUCUUAAAGAAAACUAACCAAAGUUAAUAUUAGUGUAGUCCAUUAUUAUGUGGACAAUUAUUAUGUGGAAUCUCUUAAGUGAGCAACUAAGAAAAAGCCUUAUAGAAAGACUACACUGGAUUUAUAAGUGUGUUUAUGUUUCUCUAAGAAUGGGAGCUUCUGUUAACUUAGGGGUGGAGUUGUUCUGAGGAAACCAGUAGAUUGGAUGACUGACUGGAGAAUCCAGAAUAACAAAUCCAUUAGCCAGACAUGUUUACUUUUAUAUUAGAAGUUUGUUGAUUAGGUCUUAAUUUUCAAACGCAAACACCAAGCUUUAAAAAUAUUGCAUAUACAAUGUAUUGGUCAGCAAUUUAAUAAUAUUUAAUUUGAAGUUAAUUAUUGUUAAUCCUUCUAGAAAAGUUUUUUUUCUUUAAAUAAAAGUACAUAUAUAUACUUUUUUAUUUAGAGGUUACCAGAAGCUCUGGUUUUGUUUUGUUUUGUUUUGUUUUUUUGUUUUUUUAAUCAUUUUCAGAUGUUAUCCAGAAAUCUGCAAGUGUACUUUUCCUGUUUUAACUCCUUCCUUUUAUCACCUGACUAUCAGGGAAGCGAGGUUGAGGCUGCCCUGACCUGACAUGUCAUGAUGUCGACUUGCUAGGUGGGGUUCGCUGGGGACGAUAACCAGUGGAAUUGUUGGUAAGAACUUUUUUUUCCUAUUUUUUUUUUUAUCAGUAGUGGGGCAUUAAGUGUGGGAGAAUGCCCAUAUCCUAUAAGUGGGCAAUUAUGUCAGCCUUGUAGAAAAAUAGGACUUUAAUAUUAAAUUAUUUUGUUCUUAAUAGGAACAUAUAAUAACACUUCACUUACUUUUAAAUUGGUAGCAGAUCAGCAGGAAAGGCCUGCAAGUAUGAAGUAAUGAAAUACUCAGGGUAUAUUUUAAGUGAGCAAAAUAGACACCUUAUAAUCUUAAAAAGUCUCUUGGAGAGACAAUAAAUUUGCUUUAACUGUCAUUUCAGUCUAGUAUUAUAUUUUCUAUAUUUUGUUGGAUAGAUUAACAUAUAAUGCAUCUUAAAGAGAUAUUUAUUGCACACUAAUUUUAGUGAAAACAAGAAGACAUUGAUAGAAUGGAGGGCUUAAACACCAAAGAUACUAUUUUUAAAAAUCUUCCAAAGUAAUCUUAACACUGUAAAAUGAAACUUUAAAAAGUUUUAGCAGUUUGACAAUAAUGGCCUCAAUUUAGAGAUAUGUUGAGACAAUGACUUUGGGUCAAGAGGAAAUUACAUAGCUGAAAUAUUAAGACCUUGAACAUAGCAGAAACAUAAACCUAUGAACAACUUGUGUUUUGUGUGAAAGCUAGGGUAGCUGAUAGGAUUAGCAGAUAUUGGUAGAAUUAAGAGUCAAUAUUUAAAUUAUUGCUAAAGAUGGGCAAAAGGGACUUCUCUAGCCUCUUCGAUAAUGUAGGUAGACUUGUACUUAGUGAAUCCCAUUAUAAUGUUAGGUACUAUGUUCUAAGACUAUUUCUAUAAUUGGACUGAAGGCUCCUGCAAACAUAAAUUGCUGAUAUGGAUAUAGUAACAUAAGAAAUACCAAAAUAGGGACAUUUGCAAGACCUUUUCCAUUUAAUCAUCAGUUUAAUAAAAAUCAUGCUUUUGGUACAGUGUUCAUGUACCAUAACUGUAUUGGAAUAUUUGUACGAUGUUAAAUAUUUUUAAUAAAAUUUAACAUGUUCAAAAUGUUGUGUUGGUGAUUUUGGGUGGGGUGUGAUGGGUUUGAUUGUGCAAAACAGAUUUAGUAGUUAUGUGAUUUAGGCUUUUGUAGUUAAAUGGAGUUUCUGUCUUCAAAUUUAGUACUAGAUACUGUACCUGUUCUAAGGAAGGUAGUGAAGGAGUAGGAUAGUAAAAAUGAAAAGGCUGAACUCCCCAGAGAUUUAUUAAAUUGCCAGGAAGCUUGACUGAGGUUAGAACUAGAUCUACAGGUGGCAGAUAGGAAUAUUGGCUGUGGCAUAACAGGCUGCCAAUAGAUACAGUGGUUUUUCAAAGGGUUGCUUAAGCUUUAGCUGUACCAAAAGCCCCGAAUUUAUUUAGUUUAGUUUUAGAAAUAACAAGAUUUUGUUAGGUAUUUUCCUGUGGAGUAUAUUAUAUUCACCUAGGGAGAUAUCUUCUGUCUAUAGCUAUGAAAAGAAAUUAAAUUUCUAUUUCCUUGUAAUUGAAAGUUGUGACCAAAAUCAAGACCAUGUGUAGACAUUUCCUCUAGCUCAUAAGCAAGAGUAGUGUUUUAUUCAGCUGUUUACUUAAAAUUCCAAAUGGUGACUUUUAGGCCUAGAUGUCUAUUUGUUAAGAGGCAGGAGGGGCUCUGUGUGGUGGUGGUUCUUGCUGGUAAUCCUAGCACUUUGGGAGGCCCAGGUGGGAGGAUUGCUUGAGCCCCGGAGUUCAAGAUCAGCCUGGGCAACAUAGGGAGACCCCAUCUCUACAAAAAAUCAGAAACUUAGCUGAGCAUGGUGGCACACACCUGUAGUCCCAGCCACCGUGGAGGCUGAGGUGGGAGUAUUGUUUGGGCCUGGGAAAAUACUGCGUUAUUGCAGAUCUCAAUACUGUUUAAUAGAAUUUGGAAACAUUCCUGUACGCGUGUUCUUGGGAGAUUAUUCUGUACUUCAGUUAGGAAUCCUUUAAGUCUGUAAACUUCAGUUUCAGCCUAGGUUUUUAAGUAGAUUAAGCAAAGUUAAUACUUUUCUUUUCUUUUCUUUUCUUUUUGAGACAGAGUCUCCCUGUGUCGCCCAGGCUGGAGUGCAGUGGCGCGAUCUUGGCUCAGUGCAAGCUCCGCCUCCCGGGUUCACGCCAUUCUCCUGCCUCAGCCUCCCGAGUAGCUGGGACUACAGGCGCCCGCCACCACACCUGGCUAAUUUUGUUUUUGUAUUUUUAGUAGAGACAGGGUUUCACUGUGUUAGCCAGGAUGGUCUUGAUCUCCUGACCUCGUGAUCUGCCUGCCUCAGCCUCCCAAAGUGCUGGGAUUACAGGCGUGAGCCGCCACACCCAGCCAUUAAUACGUUUUAAAAGGCCACUAUUUUUAUCAGCUAAAUCACUUUUGAAAAUUUUGUGUGUUAUGUGUUAUACUCAAAAUAUUAUCAAAACAUUCUGUUUUCAUUUGAACCUAUUGAUUAGAAUGGUGCUUAUUUAUUUGGCUGUUGUUCAAGUACCUGAAUUGGCUUGGUCAGAAGGACUUGGGUGUUCUAGCUAGCUGUCGUAUAACUAAAUAUAGAGUUGGUAUGGAAAACGAUUUGAUCUAAAUACAACCAACAAUAAAUAUUUUUAUUGAAACUUCCUUUUAAUUGAUGAGUAGUAAUAUGGAUGUCUUCAUUAGUUGUAAUGUCAUUUCUAUUUUACUUUCCUAAAUGUGAAAGAAAAGAUGAAAGACCAUUUCUUGGACAUAUCAAAUGAUUUUUAAGGAAUUUCUGGUGAUUAUUUAAAUUUUCUAGUUAAGCUGUCUAGGUCAGAAUUCAUCAUUCAAAAAUGCUGCUCAAACUUGAAGUGGGUAGGAAUUUCUGGGGAUUUUGAUUAAGAUGCAGAUUCUGACUCAUUAAAUCUGAGAUGGGCAAGAGUCUGCAUUUCUGACAAGCUCAUAGGUGAUGCCAGUGUUCCUGACUACACUUUCAGUAGCAGAGUUACAGAUUAUCCCACAUUUUGGGGGAUUUUGUGUUUUUAAUAAGAUUGAGCCAGGCUGUGGUAUUUUAUCUGCAACUUACUACAAUUUUACGUGUAAUUCAAUUUUAUCCUUAACUUCUUCUCUCCAGAUUGGAGUUCUUAUUCUUUGAAGUCAAAAGCCACUUUAUUUCUGUGAAUACUUCCUUUUCACUGUUUUGUACCUUCCCUGGCUUUCUAUUACGUCUUUGAAGUGGCUACUGGAAGGUAAUGAAGUAUGCUGGAUGCAUAUGUAUUAACCAUGGUUUUGUGUCGUGUUAAUCAUCCUUAAAAAAAAAAAUCCUUCCAAAUUAUCCCCAGUUGUUAUCUUUCUGUUUGUGUGUGUGUGUGUUUUAGAAGUGAGGCAUUAGGCUGGGUGCGGUGGCUCAUGCCUAUAAUCCCAGCAUUUGACAAAAUUAAUUCAUAUUUAGUCUAAUAUAUUCCAAAAUCCAAGACUUAAUAGGGUAGGAAGCACUGCUGUGGGCCUUAAAAGUUGGUUGCUAGAUUAUUAUUCCUCUUCCUCGUCAUCCUGCCCAAUCCCUCAUACUACCCUAUUUGUCCUACGCAGUUGUCAUAAUCAUCACACAGACACCCACAUGCCUACUAUGUCAUGGUGUCAAGUUUAAAUUCUUGAAGUUUGAGAACUUUCAUAUACUUCCUUGGCAUCUUAUGUUUCCUUUAAACCUUUUAUUAAUUUCCCAAUCUGUCUGCAAUUCUGCCUAAGACUUUUCUGUCAUCCUUAGGAAGGUGAUGCUGAUUUUUUUCCCCAUACUUUGGUCCACCUUUCUUUAACCCAUUACUUUCUAGCAAUUAUUUUGGCAGUUAUUUCAUUUUCCUAAGACAAAGAUUGGAAUGUGUUGUCACUGAUGAAAUAAUAGAAAUAUAUGGUUGAGUCAUGUACAAAAUAACUUACAGGCCCCAACCAGUGGCCCUCUUCAGGGGGUAUUUGGAAUUAUUUAAGUGACAGACAACAAAUUUGGACUGAAUCUUAAUAUCUAGAUUCUGUGGGUAACAAAAUCUGUAAAUAGAAAAUAAUAAAAUGGUUAGGAUUAGUCCAUAUGAGAGUUUGCGUUCAGAGGUUUGGAGGGCAAAACUGACGAUUUCCUGCUCUUGACUAUUAUAGAGCAGUCUCUUGCUUCACAGUUGUCAAAAUCCCACUUCAUGAACGAUCACAGACCAAAUGGCAGAAAACAACCCAGUUGUUUUCCCAGUUGUUUCUAUUCCUAAAAAUUGCAUAGGUGGGUACAUAUCGUAUUCUGUUGUGUUUUCUGAAAGCAAAGGUACUGUCAUGUUAUUGUGGUCUAUGUGCAUAUCGCUGUAGUUAUCCAUGCUAUAGGUAAAACUGUUGAAAAGAAUUAUUUAAUUGUGGUGAUAAACUGCCUUAGACGGAGUCUGUUAGACGUGCCUUCUUAUGGUGUUUAUGCCUUAGCUGUCUCUUCCUGAGGAAAUGUAUGAAUAAGAAAGGCUUCUUGAUAUUUUGACCUUAGACUUGAUAUCUAAUGCAACACCCUUCCUCCCCCAUUUAUAGGAAUAGUACUCAUUCAUUGAGUACUAUUAUAUGCCAGACACACGACGCUAGGUGGUUUGUAUUAUCUUUAUAUCCACAAUAACCUUGAUUUAGGUAGUAGUAUCCCUGUUUUACUGUGAGAAAACUGAGGCCCAGAAAGGUUAAGUGAUAAUUGUAUGGCUAGUUUGUGAUAACUAUAGAUACUACAACUAAAAAUUUACCUUUCUGGUUCUUUUUUUUCAUUCUUACCUUUCUCUAGCAAUACAUAUUUAGCUCUUUAGAGCUAGUUACAAUAUAUUUUUUAUGUUAGACUUACUGUGUGGGGAGUUUUGAAUUUAAAAAGCUAUUCUGAAAGUUAAAUAUCAUUAGAUACAUUGUCAAACCCUGAAGCUGAAAUUCCAGCCAUUCAGGGAGCCCCUCAGGGAGAUCACUGCUUUUCCCUUGCAAAAAUAAAAAUAGUGUAUAAAAUACUAUUUAAAUAUAUACUCUUAUCUAAUUCUAAUAGCUAGUAUUUGUUAAGUGCUUAGUAAGUGCCAAGUGCUGUUCAAAUUGCUUUUUAGGCUCACACCUGUAUAAUCCCAGCACUUUCUGAGGCCAAGGUGAGAGGACUGCCAUCUUGAAAUUUUUUUUUUAAAGUACUUUUUACUGAAAAAAAAUUGUUUAUGAAACAAUUUAAAUGAUAUUGUUUAAGCCAAAACAGUUACUUAUAUUUCAUUUCUCUUUUAUUUUUAUAAAUAGAGCAUCAAUUCCCUUAAUCACAAAGGUCAAGAAAGGUUAUCUCAUGUUACAUUAGGACAUACUUAGGACUUCGUAGUAUUUCCCUUCUGUGUGAAAUUUUAUCCAGAAGACUUGAAUUACUUAAUCGUAAAGUGAAUAGCAAACGUGAAUCUAAAACAUGGUUUCAGUUUUUCAGAAUCAGGCCUGCUUUGUCCCUAAAUGCUUUCUUAUUUCCCCAGAGCCCUUAUUGGAUUUAAGCCCCAUAUCAUAUCUCACAUACCUGAGACAGACAUACCACAGUGAACCCUGCAUGUCCUUGUAAGUUCUUUUCCGUGCCUAGAAGUUGCAGAAGACCAAGGAACCUUGGAAGUGACUUACUCUUUUGCUUCAUAAAGUUGCUUUAAAACAGCCUUUAUAUAUAUAUAUAUAAAUUUGUUUCAUAAAGCAAGGAGAAAUGGUGUAAAUAAUACAAGUGUGGCUAUUGACAUAUGAAAAUGUCCAUUUAUUUUGAAAGUGACUACCCCCACAGAUUAUAUAACUGUAGAAUCGAAUACAAAUUUUCUCACUUUUCUUCCUUGCUUUGGCAUUUUUUUAAAAGUUACUUGAAAGUUCAGUUUAGAUUGAAAAAUAAGGGCCUGAUUAAUAGCGCUGUAUCAUGGUAUUAGAGUACAUAUGUUAGUAUUUUCAUGAAAGAGGAAGAGGGUAAUAACUGAUUUACCUAUGAUUAAAAGAUAGUGGUGACAUUUUCCUUUGAAAGUUUGGGCUAGAAAUUUAUAACCUUUGGCCAAUGAAACUACAGUAGCUUCAGUCACUGCUUCCAUGCCACAUCUCUACCUAAAGGGAAGAUGGAAUCCGCCUUCUCUUUUUUUUUUUUUUUUUUUUUUCUGAGACUGAAUCUCACUCUGUCGCCCGGGCUAGAGUGCAGUGGCAUAAUCUUGGCUCACUGCAACUUCCACCUUUCAGGUUCAAGCAGUUCUCCUGCCUCAGCUUCCUGAGUAGCUGGGACUACAGGUGCCUGCCACCACACCUGGCUGAUUUUUGUCUUUUUGGUAGAGAUGGGGUUUCACUGCGUUGGUCACGCUGGUCUCGAACUUUUGACCUCAGGUCAUCCACCCGUCUCAGCCUCCCAAAGUUCUGGGAGUACAGGCGUGAGCCACCAUGCCCAGCCUGAAUCCCCCUUCUCAAAAGUAACUUCCAUUCACUUUGUCCCUGGCAGUCUGCUGGUGACCAUGAUUUCUAAGGCUCACUCAUGGGACCAAAGGCAAGAAGAAAGGGAGGAGGGUGGUAACCAGAUAAACUUUGCAACCCCUUUGAUAGGACUUUUUGGGUGAGAAUUUUUAUGAAAAGUAAUAUAUACUUCUACUAUAGAUCUGCCUCUAGUUUCAACCUCUAGUUUUAGCACUGAUUUUUUCCCCUUAAUUUCUUCAAAGAAAGUGGGAAGAAUGUCCACAGAUGUUAGGAGAAGACAAUUAUGUAGGAAAAAUAUUUUCUCAAAUUAAAAUUUAAAACAAAAGUUUGCAGGGAAUGGAGUGGGGUUCAGCAUUAGGGAGGUAGGAGAUGAUAAAAAUACAUAUUAAGUAAUUUGUACCCUGAUAUGCUUUGUAUGUAGAUUGCUUACAACUAACAUGAAAUGAGCAUUUCAUUCCUUAAGCAUGCUGUUGGGGGAAAAUGGGAGCCAGGCUGGAUGCACAAAUUUACACCAGAUGCUCUGUAUCCAGGUAGCAGAAAUGACUAACAGCACUGGUAUCCAUCAGUCCCAGAGCAAAAGCGUCUCCAGAGGAGGACAUCUGUAAAUCCCAAAUCUGAUCUCCUUCAUCAUCAUUAGGCAACAGAUAGGAUAAGACUUCAUGAAGAGAAUUUUGGUGGCUUUAGAUUGUUGAGAAAGUAUAUAUAGGAAAAAACUGGAAAUUAUGUCCAAGAUUUUUUGUCUAACUCCUUAUCCUGAUAUUGUUAACAUUUCACAACUAAAAUAAUUUUAACAGACAAUUAGUUUUUAAAAAUGUAUUUUCAUGACCUGAGACUACAGAAAUUGCCAUUUUCUUAGGACGUAGUUUACAUUUGACUCUGCUUACUGUGUCCAUAUAGGCCAGAGAAAUAUGGCUGUUACGAUGAAGGCGUAACUUCUCUGGUUCUUGAUUAUUUACACCAUUAGAGAAGAAUGCAAAUAUGAAUAGCUCAGAGUAGUUUAACUUUGAAGUGAGAGUUUAUAUGCACCUUUAUAUGUGGGAUAACUGAUGUCUUUGGAAUAGACUUCAAAUGAAUGAUAAAAACACCUGUAAAGUGAUAGGACCUCUACUUUUUCUCAUGUCCAAUGUUCAGUUUCUUAUAAACCAGGCAUGAAGAGAAACAAAAAGUAAUUAAUUCUCCAGAUCAUGAAGUUGUCUUCAACCUAAGCACAGAGGUAUAAUAAUUACAUUUCUCAGAAGUUCCCCCUCUGUUUUGAGUCUCAAGGGCAAUUGAGAUGUCAGUGAGGCUGUGAUUAAAUGUAUUGGAUAUUAGAGGAUUUUAAAUACAAACAAGUAUUAUAGGUGUUACCACUGACCCCGAAGGUAAGAUUUACUGUGAAAAUUUAUAAUGCAAGGAAGAAUGAUCAAGUUGGCUGUCAGAACAACAAAAUAUUACAAACCAGGAUGUCUAAGAGCAGAAGUCCGUGGUUGCCACCUCUCAAGCCUCUUAGCUUAAUCCAAUCUAGGAUGCAUUUCCACUCUGCAACAAACAGUAUUUAUUUUUGCCUUAUUUGCAGAUAACAGUUUUAAUGCAGGUACUGCCCAUGGAUUAGCUUUGAGCAGUGUCUUUUUGCUUUGGUUUUUUUAUUUGUUUGGUUUGUUUUGAGACUGAGUCUCAGUCCUCCAGGCUGGAGUGCAGUGGUGUGACUUUGGCUCACUGCAACCUCUGCCUCCCGGGUUCAAGCGAGUCUCCUGCCUCAGCCUCCCAAGUAGCUGAGUCUACAGGCGUGAGCCACCAUCCCCGGCCAAGCAGUAUCUUUUUGCUUUGAAAGUGACUUACAUGUACAUUUGUUUUCCUUGUGAAUGUUUCUUUUUAACUGCAAACUAAGAAACAUUGAGCCCAGCAUUCAUAUAUUUGCAAACUCUGUCUUACUUAAUUUCUCAGUUUUUUUCCUCAGAAAAAAUGAAAUUCCUUUUCUUUUUUAAAUUUAUUUUUUCUUUAUUUUUCUUUAUAAAGUGAAGAGUAGGUAGCAUGAAUUCCUCUUGCCCUUUGCUAUUUCAGUCUGGCAUCAGUAGCAAUUGUUGCUAUGUCCAGUUUUCAUUCAUGGAUUUUUCUGGGAUUGAAGAUGAGUUCAAUGUUGAUUAUUUAAUUGGGCAGUAUAAGUAAAUUCAUUGGCUCUCCUUCCAGUUUAGUGAAUACUAAAUAUCAUCCAUGAUAUUUUAUACUUCUUACACUUCUGGAAUCUAACCUGAAAAUAGAAGUUGUAAGUCAGGGACGGUGGUAUGUGCCUCUAGUCUCAGCUAGUUGGGAGGCUGAGGCUUGAGCCCAGGCCUUCAAGGCUGUAGUGCACAAUGACUGUACUUGUGAAUAGCCACUGCACUCCAGCCUGGGCAACAUAGCAAGACUCCCACCCCUUAAGAAAAAAGAAGAGAGAAAAAAAUAGAAGUUGUGGAGAGGGAGGAGGAUGCUUGAAUACUUUGACCGUACUUGGCAUAAUAGACAUUUUGAGGGUUUUUUUGUUUUCUUAAAAUUCCUCUGGAUCAGUUUUCAUUGUUUCUAGUAAUUAUAUUUAUCGUUAAUGAAUUCAUAUUCUGCUCUAGCCCCUAAAGAUAGUUUGAUAUGCUAACUUUUGUUUUGCCUUUCUAGCUGCUAAGAUAGAUAAUGGUUAUUGCAAAAUGCACGUUUUUAAAUGGUCUCCAGUGUGGAUUGCUUCUGAGCUGCUGAUGGAUUGAAUACAUUGAGAAGGAAUGUGUCAUUUGGAAUCCAGGACCAGUCAGCAAGGAUAACUGCCUGAUUUUAUGGUCAGAAUGCUCUAACUCUUAUGGCAUACUGAUGACUUUUUCUUCCAUUUUCCAAAAAAGCAAGUUUUGUCAGUCUCAGUGUUUCUCUGAUCUAGCUACUCACAAUUCCAUUCCCAAAGUAGUGACCUAGUUCUGUCACUUGGGUUUCAAAGGGAGUUGAAGUGUCACUGAGUGAGUACAGCAAACCUGUUUAAUGAUUUAUAGGAAGCAAAUAAAAAGAAUUUUGUUUGCUAACCUAGAAGUAUAUCAGAUUUUGGUUUCAAUUUAUAAUUUUGCAAAAUAUAAAGACAUUUCCUGGCUAACUCCAUCCAGAUGAAUUAUUCAGUAUUUUUUCUCCUAUCUUAAUGAAGUUAAUUUGAAUGCUAAUUUCCUAUAACCAAGAAAACAGUUGAAUUAAAUAACCCUUAUCUUUUAAACUUAAAGCUUAUACUACUAAUAAUCAUUUAACAUUCACUUCCUUUUUUCUGACUUAAUUGGUAGGUAAAUAAAAUACUUCAAAUUUGAUUGGCAAAUUGGAAAAUCACUUAGAACAAUCUGCUAGUAUUUUUUAUUCCCUUUGUUUUUUCCUUUACACAUUUGUACUGCAAAAUAAAUCAAGGACAAAGACUCACACUGAAUUGAUCAACUUGUGUUUGGUCUUCAUGGGAAUUACAUCUUUUUUCCCCUCAACAUUUAUUAAAGGAACAUACAGAAUUUCAGACUAUAGCAAACUAAUACCUUUAGCUUGACUAAGAGUUGAUUUUCGUUAAGGAACAGAACUUGUAAUUUAUUUCGACAUACUUUAAUGUAUGACUCAUCCCUGUUAAAGUUGUGAGACUCAAAACUACGCCCAAAUCACUUAAUUUUAUGUCCUUAUUUCGUGACUGAUGCUGAAAUGGAAGCCAACCACUGCAGAAAUUUGGGGGAAAAUGAGAUCUGAAGAAUACAAGGGGAAGUAGGAAUUCAUUUCUAGCAUUUCCAAACCUGCUUAAUCGUGUCUGCUCCACCACAGUCAGAGGAAAAGACUGAGUUCAUGGAAAUUACCAGCUAAGCCUUACAUCUGUCUUUAAUGUUUUUAGGAAGUAUACUGAAAAGGUAAGUGAGAUGUCUGUUUUGAAGAAAGACUCUUACUGGGUACCUUAAAACCCGUUGUUUCCUAUUAGUAAAGAUGGGCAGCUUCUUUAUUCCUAGCUUCAAAAAGCCUUGCCCCUGUUUGGUGUGUUUCUCAGUAUUGUGGAGAAGGUAGUUUCUGAGCAAGGUGGUGCUUUUCCUCUGCUUCUCAGCAGCUAAGACAGAAAUUGCACCGAAGUGUACAAAGGGCCAAUUUUUGUUGUCCUGUUGUGCUCAAAUCCUUUUUUUUAAAAAAGUUAUUUCAAUCAAGUCUUAGUUUUAUUCCUCACUAUAUAGGAAAAAAAUCUUUAAUGCCUCAAAAGUUCCAUUCAGCAUUACAUUUGCAUUACUCUUAUUUGCAGCAAAUAUGAGUAAAAUUAUAGGUUUUUAAAGGUCUCUAAUAACAUCCACUUAUAUUGGUUUUGUAGAUAAUCCAUAAAUUACCAGAAAUAAAUUAUUCCACAUUUAUUACACACCCAUGUAAUAGAUGUCGUGCCAGGCCCUGGAAUAUACUAAUGGCAUCACCUCAUGUGGUAAAAAGACACAUUCCGCCAUCCUGGAGUAUACAAAGGUAGACUAGCAUAUAGUUCAUGUGCUCAAGGAGUUCAUUUUUAUUGACAUGAUACAGAUAGAAUUGUAGUUUAGGGAAUCAAAAUCUAAUAAAAUGAGGCUAAUUCCAUUUUCCCAUUAACACUAAUAACUAGUGUGUAAAUCUGAAUAUGACACAUUCUAUAUGAAAGAAGCUCUGUGUGCAUCUACACUAAAUACUCGUGUGUGCCAGGUACUGUUUUAAACUACGUAUAUUUUUUUAAUUCUCAUAACUGUUCUCUGAGGUAUGUACUAAUACUAAAGCUUAUUGUUAAAGGAAGGCAGAAAAAUUAAGUAACUUGGCCUAAGUUUGCAUAACUGUGAUCUGGGAUCAAUAUUUGAACCCAUACAGGCUGAUUGCAGAGCCUGCACUCUUAAUUUGAGUGUGAUAUUUAUGUGCAGUACCUGGCUAUAAGUACCCACAAAACGUUUCAAAUUCUUUAUAAAAUUUGCUUAGUUAAAAAAGUACCAAUUGCAUAAUAUGGUUAUAAGUCUGGUAGAAGUUAGGCUUUUUACAAGACAUGCUGCUUACUGCACCAAGGAGGCAAGAAGGCUUUUUAGAGAGCCCAGAAUUUCCUUUCCUCAACUCCUGCUUCCAAGACAGUCAUUUUGCAUGAUAACCGUUUCCCCAAAAAACACAGACACAAAAUUUAAAGAACUGGAACAGAGGAAGCAGAGCUUAUCAUAGUAUAUAUGUUUAGUACCCUGUCACUUAGGUCCACCCCUCUUUCUUUGUGGAUUGUGGACAUUUUGUUUAACUGCUAAAUCAUGAGAAUAUAUGACUGCUGAGACUUUUCCAAGGAUUUUUUAAAAAACACAUUAGGCUUUGUGCAGAAGUAAAGAAAAAGUGCUGUGAGAACCCCAGGUAGGUAAUUUACUUUCUAUUGUACUCAUAGUUUGUUUGAAACCUCUUCACCUCUAUCCCUUAUUGUUUUAUACUCUGUAAAUCUGAUUUUAC